AGGAGCUUAGGCUAGAAUUUAGACCACGGACCUUCAAAGUCCUAAGCGAGGGUGAAAAUCCCCCAGCCCCUG
rnacentral:tRNA from 1 species